GAGUACUACAGCUCUUUCAGAAUUUGUCUAGUAGGUUUUCCAGUUUCCACCGGAAAACACCCCA
ensembl:snRNA U7 U7 small nuclear RNA